AGCAGCCGCGGUAAUUCCAGCUCCAAUAGCGUAUAUUAAAGUUGUUGCAGUUAAAAAGCUCGUAGUUGAAUUUCGGGGUCAGUAGGUUGGUCAUGCCUUUGGUAUGUACUGGUCUCACUGAUUCCUCCUUCUUGAAGAUCCGUAAUGUCAUUAAUUUGGUGUUGCGGGGAAUCAGGACUGUUACUUUGAAAAAUUAGAGUGUUUAAAGCAGGCUAACGCUUGAAUACAUUAGCAUGGAAUAAUGAAAUAGGACGUUUGAUCCUAUUUUGUUGGUUUCUAGGAUUGACGUAAUGAUUAAUAGGGAUAGUUGGGGGCAUUAGUAUUCAAUUGUCAGAGGUGAAAUUCUUGGAUUUAUUGAAGACUAACUACUGCGAAAGCAUUUGCCAAGGAUGUUUUCAUUAAUCAAGAACGAAAGUUAGGGGAUCGAAGACGAUCAGAUACCGUCGUAGUCUUAACCAUAAACUAUGCCGACUAGGGAUCGGAUGAUGUUAAUUUUUAAUGUACUCAUUCGGCGCCUUAA
rnacentral:rRNA from 1 species